rnacentral:rRNA from 1 species
UACGAAGGGAGCUAGCGUUGUUCGGAAUCACUGGGCGUAAAGCGCACGUAGGCGGAUGUGUCAGUCAGGGGUGAAAGUCCCGGAGCUCAACUUCGGAACUGCCUUUGAUACAGCACAUCUGGAGUCCGGAAGAGGUGGGUGGAAUUCCUAGUGUAGAGGUGAAAUUCGUAGAUAUUAGGAAGAACACCGGUGGCGAAGGCGGCCCACUGGUCCGGUC